rnacentral:rRNA from 1 species
AUUGACCGUGAAGAGGCGGGAAUAUAACAAUAAGACGAGAAGACCCUAUGGAGCUUUAAUUAACCGACCCAAAGAGACCCCAUUUAUCCAACCGACAGGAACAACAAACCUCUACUAUGGGUCGACAAUUUAGGUUGGGGUGACCUCGGAGAAUAAAAUAACCUCCGAGUGAUUUAAAUCAAGACUAACCAGUCAAAAGUAUUACAUCACUUAUUGAUCCAAAAACUUGAUCAACGGAACAAGUUACCCUAGGGAUAACAGCGCAAUCCUAUUUCAGAGUCCAUAUCG